rnacentral:rRNA from 1 species
GUCCUAGCCCUAAACGAUCAGGACUUGGGGUGGCCCGCGUAGGCGGGUCGUCCCGGAGCUAACGCGUUAAGUCCUGCGCCUGGGGAGUACGGUCGCAAGACUGAAACUCAAAGGAAUUGACGGGGCCCGCACAAGCGGUGGAACAUGUGGUUCAAUUCGACGCAACGCGAAGAACCUUACCUGGGCUCGAAGUGCUCGGGACCAGCUGUGGAAACACGGCCUUUCCCGCAAGGGACCCGAGUAGAGGUGCUGCAUGGCUGUCGU